AAAUAAAAUAGGCUGGUUAUUUUAGUGUAGGAAUGUAUUUAGGUGAAGGUUGUAAUCACCUGCAUAUUAAGGUUGCUCCAUUUUGAAUAGCAAAAUACACUUAUUUACCUCCCAGACAGUAUAUAAUUUCAAUAAUUCCAUAGGUAUUUUUGCAUGUAAUAGACAGAUAAAUCUCCAGAGCAGCCCCUCAGUAAGCGCCACUAAUUACAUUUAUUUUUGAGGAUAAGUCUUAAACAUACCAGAACAGGGGUCCCCCACCAUGAACCUUGUGGGAAUCAUUAAGAACAAAAGGCCAGUGCUCUUGGAAAGUUAACAUCAGCAACAAAAUGGGCUCCAACACAAGUUUAUUAAGAGCAACUGAAAUGUCUUUGUUUUGUGCAUUUCAUUUGAGUCUGGCCUUAACAAGGCAGAUGUUAGGAGCUCUGGGUACACAGGCAGGUGAGAAGGCUCUUGGCUUACAGACUGUCAGUAAUUACUGAACACCACAUGGGAAACUACUCAACAAAUAAAACAGUUAGAAGAAGACAGACAUUACAGUAGCACUCUCAAAAAUUACUGGAUUUCACGGACAGUUAAGGGGGAGUUAAUUGAGAUGAACAAGCUGCAGAGACAGCUGGGAGCACUGAGGACCUUUUAGGAAGUGAUAUCUUGCAAGGAUGACACUGCUUGGGAGCUGUAUCAAGAAUACCAUGCAAUGCUGAGAUGAUCUAGGUUAGUAUCAAAAAUUCUAAAUUUGGACAUGGAUCUUGCAAAAUUGGAACCAAUUAUGAAAAAGUAACUAAGGGAAGAUUGAUUAUUUGGGAGGACACAAGCAAAAAGAAAGGUAGGGAUCAAGGAGGGUGGUGAAGAACAAGCACAGGAAAAUGCAAAGGGAAGUAAAAACAUUUGUUCAGUAUGGGAAACUAGAAAGUUUUUCUCUGUCUUUAAAUAUAUUUACUGCAUUCUCCAGAUUGUCUGUUUACUUACAGAAGAGAUCCACUGACCUGCUGGAAAUUACAGAGGAAGGGACUGAAAACCAUGCAGAUGAUUUAGGAUGGCUGGUUGUGGUAGUCUUCGUGCUGGUCUGGGAAAAGCCUUCAAUGGAAACGGGUGUCCAGAAAUAAACAAGAUUCUCGCUGUUCAAAGAUAUUUGUAGACCUUCCACGUAUUUCUUCCACCAAACUGAUCUUCAGCCAAGCAUAUUCAGUACCUUCACUUCUUCCUGAUGAACCUGGCAAAAAUUCCAGCUUUCAGCAGCACGUGAAGGAACAAAUAAGCACACUCAGUACAGAACAAAGGACAUUCAUCAGUGGGAUAUUUUGGCCUCUAAUUGAACAGCAGUCAUAUCAACUUCCUCCUUAACCCAGGACUGAACGUCUUUUCUGUGCUGGGGAAGGAAAGGCAGAAACACCUGUGGGCACUGCAGAUUUUACCACAGCUCUUACAAGAGUGCACUUGCUAACCAGAGUGCUCUGGCUGCUUUCCAGCCAAGGCACAUACAAGAUUUUGCCUGCUUAGAAAUCAUCUAAAUAGUUUCAAAACAUUUUCUUCAC